rnacentral:misc_RNA from 1 species
CAGGGCUUGCAGGUUCAUCUC